ACCUGGAUAGCUCAGUCAGUAGAGCGUGUGACUCUUGAUCUCGGGGUCAUGAAUUCAAGCCUCAUGUUGGGUG
rnacentral:tRNA from 1 species